GGAGUGAACGCUGGCGGUAGGCCUAACACAUGCAAGUCGAACGGCAGCACAGUAGGAGCUUGCUCUUACGGGUGGCGAGUGGCGGACGGGUGAGGAAUACAUCGGAAUCUACCUUUUGGUGGGGGAUAACGUAGGGAAACUUACGCUAAUACCGCAUACGCCCUUCGGGGGAAAGCCGGGGACCAGCAAUGGCCUGGCGCUGAUAGAUGAGCCGAUGUCGGAUUAGCUAGUUGGUGAGGUAAUGGCUCACCAAGGCGACGAUCCGUAGCUGGUCUGAGAGGAUGAUCAGCCACACUGGAACUGAGACACGGUCCAGACCUCCGUAACGGGGAGCCAGCAGGUGGGGAAUAGUU
rnacentral:rRNA from 1 species